GGGRCCGGGAUAWCCCCGGGNNACUGGGGAUAAACCCGGAUAGGUGAUGUKGCCUGGAAUGGUUCUUCACCGAAACACCUUCGGGUGCCCAAGGAUGGGUCUGCGGCCGAUUAGGUAGUUGGUAGGGUAACGGCCUACCAAGCCGAUCAUCGGUACGGGUUGUGAGAGCAAGAGCCCGGAGAUGGAACCUGAGACAAGGUUCCAGGCCCUACGGGSCGCAGCAGGCGCGAAACCUCCGCAAUGCACGCAAGNGC
rnacentral:rRNA from 1 species